rnacentral:rRNA from 1 species
CCUACGGGAGGCAGCAGUAAGGAAUAUUGGUCAAUGGAGGCAACUCUGAACCAGCCAUGCCGCGUGCAGGAAGACAGCCCUAUGGGUCGUAAACUGCUUUUAUACGGGAAUAAACUUUGAUUCGUGAAUCAAGCUGAAUGUACCGUAAGAAUAAGGAUCGGCUAACUCCGUGCCAGCAGCCGCGGUAAUACGGAGGAUCCAAGCGUUAUCCGGAUUUAUUGGGUUUAAAGGGAGCGUAGGCGGCCUAUUAAGUCAGGGGUGAAAGACGGUGGCUCAACCAUCGCAGUGCCUUUGAUACUGAUGGGCUUGAAUAUAGUUGAGGUAGGCGGAAUGUGACAAGUAGCGGUGAAAUGCAUAGAUAUGUCACAGAACACCGAUUGCGAAGGCAGCUUACUAAGCUAUGAUUGACGCUGAGGCUCGAAAGCGUGGGGAUCAAACAGGAUUAGAUACCCUGGUAGUCCACGCCCUAAACCGAUGAUAACUCGAUGUUGGCGAUAUACAGUCAGCGUCCAAGCGAAAGCGUUAAGUUAUCACCUGGGGAGUACGCCCGCGAAGGGUGAAACGUCAAAGAGUAAGUUAGGACGUACGAGACGACCGAGGACCGACGGACCGACGGGACGAGGGGAGAGGG